AUGGCAGAUGGCAUCUCCCAGAGUGAGGGAUAUAAAAGAGAGGGCUGAACUUUGGGGACACACGUAUUGUGGGUCAAAAUGCCUUCCCCAAUUCCAACUCAUUAGGUUUUACGGAACUAUGAGAACCAUAUCCCUUUUCUCCUUGUCAUGGUUACAGUCACCCUGUAUAUGGCAAGUGGAAGAGACAAUGGAAUGGAGGACAUUUAUUUGUCUGUGAUGGGUUUCUGAUCAAGAAUCAGAAGAAGCAUCAAGAAUCUAGUUUGGGUGGACUCCGACCAGCUCCUCUGUCAGCAUUUUUUUGACGCAGUUCAGAGCAAAUAAUACCCAAAUCUUAUGGCUUACGAAAACUGGUGAAACUGAAAUAAGGCUUGAUGACAAUGCAAUGCAAUUUGGACACAGUUUCUGAGACGCCAAUUCUAGAUGGCCUUUAUAGACUGCAAUUAUAAUCCAAGCGGAAUAGGACAGAAGAAACCUUUAUACCUCAUUAGAACCUGGGAGAUGAUAAGAAAUUGAGGAAUUACAGCCUCUCAUGGAAUAUAAGGAGGUUUCUCCAUGGGGAAGACAGCAUCCACUUUUUAAAGCCUUUGGCCUCAAAGGGACAUAAAGUUUUUAAGGAGAAACUGCAUUUUUGUCAAACCCAGGUUUGUUAUUUGGGGCACAUGACCCAAAUGGGCUUCAUGGUAUUGUGAAUUUCCAACCCAAAAUCAAAUACUGGCUAUUGCUGAAAGUGGGUUGUCUGGCUAUUGUUGAAACUGGAUUCCAAAAUUUUCUCUCAUGGCUAGGUCUUUAUAUGCCUUACUAAGAACAUCAAAUCUGACUCUAUUACUUGGGAAGAUUAGGAUAACCUAGCUAUUAAUACCUUAAAGAAUAGCUUGAAAAAUCUUUCUGUCACUGGACUCCCUAAUUAUCAAAUUCCCUUUUUUGCUUUUCAUAUAUGAGAAGAAAGGAUGUACUUUUGGACUACUUACCCAAAAUCAUGGGGAUCACUAUUGCCCCAUAGACUACCACAGUCAGCAGCUAGACCCUGUGACAUGGGGAUAUCUCCUUUCCUCAGAACCAUUCCUGCUAUUGUCCUCUAAGUUAGGGCCAUUGAAGAAAUAGUGGUGAUAUCCCUCGUAGCCAUUUUUGUAACCCAUUCAGUUAAAGCCCUCCAGAAUUCUCAUCAUACUCAAUACCAUUUGGCCAGUAAUUUAAACUCCUAUGCAAUCCUCUCACAGUUCUUUCUCACUGUAAUAACUUCAACACUGCCACACAUCUUUUCUGUUCAGAAUAUAAUACUCUUGAUAACUGUUGGCCAGGACACAUGGUCUUUAGACCCCUGGAGAUGAUUCAUGGGAAACUCCUCUAACCAAUGCUGAGUUUUCAUAGUUUACUGAUGGUUCUUAUUUAAAGGGAAAAAAAAA
rnacentral:lncRNA from 1 species